rnacentral:rRNA from 1 species
CGGCCCGGCCAUAGCGGCCGGGUAACACCCGGACUCAUUUCGAACCCGGAAGUUAAGCCGGCCGCGUUGGAGGCUCCAGUGGGGUCCGAGAGGCCCUGCAGGGGCCUCCAAGCCGGGGCCG